UUAAGCUAAUAAGAGCGCAGGGAGGAUGCCUUGGCAUCAGGAGCCGAUGAAGGACGCGGUAAGCUGCGAAAAGCUCCGGGGAGUGGCAAGCACACUUUGAUCCGGAGAUAUCCGAAUGGAGCAAUCCACAUGAGUGAAGCUCAUGUAUCAUAUACUGAAUAAAUAGGUAUAUGAGGGGAACCGUCUGAACUGAAACAUCUAAGUAGGACGAGGAAAAGAAAUCAACCGAGAUUCCGCUAGUAGUGGCGAGCGAACGCGGAAGAGGCUAAACCAGAGUCAGCAAUGACUUUGGGGUUUGGACUGCAUUUAGUAUCAAUGAGGUCUAGUCGAAGUACAUGGGAAGGUACAUCGAAGAGGGUGAGAAUCCCGUAGACGAAAGAUCAAGUUGGCGAGCAGUAUCCAAAGUACCGCCGGACACGUGAAACCCGGUGGGAACACGGGGGGACCAUCCUCCAAGCCUAAAUACUACCUGAUGACCGAUAGCGCAUAGUACUGUGAAGGAAAGGUGAAAAGAACCCCGGGAGGGGAGUGAAAGAGAGCCUGAAACCCUGUGCUUACAAGCACACAGAGCACGUCAAAGUGUGAUGUGGUACCUAUUGUAGAAUGGUCCGGCGAGUUAUUUUAUGCAGCGAGGUUAAGGACUUAAGGUCUGUAGCCGAAGUGAAAGCGAGUGUUAAUAGCACGAAACAGUUGCAUGCAAUAGACCCGAAACCGGGUGACCUAUCCAUGUCCAGGCUGAAGUGAGGGUAAAACCUCAUGGAGGGCCGAACCGACUCCCGUUGAAAUGGUAGCGGAUGAGGUGUGGAUAGCGGAGAAAUUCCAAUCGAACCCGGAUAUAGCUGGUUCUCCCCGAAACCGUUUUAGGACGGGCCUCGUGUGAAGAUUAUCGGAGGUAAAGCACUGAAUAGCCUAGGGGGCGAGAGCCUACCGAAGCUUAUCAAACUCUGAAUGCCGAAUAAUCGUUUCACGGGAGUCAGACUGUGUGAGAUAAGUUUCAUAGUCAAAAGGGAAACAGCCCAGACCCACAGCUAAGGUCCCAAAGUGUAUUUAAGUGGAAAACGAUGUGAAGUUGCGUAGACAACCAGGAUGUUGGCUUAGAAGCAGCCACUCAUUAAAAGAGUGCGUAAUAGCUCACUGGUCGAGUGACUUUGCGCGGAAAAUUUAACGGGGCUAAAAUACACACCGAAGCUUGGGCUUGACGCAUUGCGUCAGGGGUAGGGGAGCGUCGUGUAAGGGGCGAAGUCGUAUCGUAAGGGACGGUGGACUUUACACGAGUGAGAAUGCCGGAAUGAGUAGCGAGAAUUAUGUGAGAAUCAUAAUGGUCGAAAGCCUAAGGUUUUUGGAGGAAGGUUCGUCCGCUCCAAGUAAGCCGGGAGCUAAGGUCAGGCGGAAACGCGUAGCCGAUGCACAUACGGUUGAAAUUCCGUAGCCUCAGAAAGAUUUAAGCAGAGGGACACUUUGAAAGGACUGUAGCCGGGUGUUGGUUACCCCGGUCGUAAGGGAACGAAAUUAAGUAGUGAAGGCAGUCUGGACGGAGGCGAGAAAAGCUCUGUGUAUAUCUAAUGAGCCCGUACCGCAAACCGACACAGGUAGGUGGGAUGAGAAUUCUAAGACCAACGGGAGAAGGGUAGUUAAGGAACUCGGCAAAUUGUCCCCGUAACUUCGGAAUAAGGGGAGCCUGCGAAAGCAGGCCGCAGAGAAUUGGCCCAGGCGACUGUUUAUCAAAAACACAGCUCUAUGCUAAAUCGAAAGAUGACGUAUAUGGGGUGACACCUGCCCGGUGCUGGAAGGUUAAGAGGAGAUGUGAGAGCAUCGAAUUGAAGCCCCAGUAAACGGCGGCCGUAACUAUAACGGUCCUAAGGUAGCGAAAUUCCUUGUCAGGUAAGUUCUGACCCGCACGAAUGGUGUAACGA
rnacentral:rRNA from 1 species